rnacentral:tRNA from 4 species
GGCAGCUUGCCAGAGUGGUUAAUGGGUAAGACUUGAAUACUCCAGCAGUUCAGGCAUCUUAUGACUUCGGUCGCGCAGGUUCGAACCCUGCAGCUGUCG